AUUGAACGCUGGCGGCAUGCUUUGCACAUGCAAGUCGAACGGCAGCGCGGGCUUCGGCCUGUCGGCGAGUGGCGAACGGGUGAGUAAUGCAUCGGAACGUGCCCAGUAGUGGGGGAUAGCCCGGCGAAAGCCGGAUUAAUACCGCAUACGACCUGAGGGUGAAAGCGGGGGACCGAAAGGCCUCGCGCUAUUGGAGGGGCCGAUGUCGGAUUAGCUAGUUGGUGGGGUAAAGGCUUACCAAGGCGACGAUCCGUAGCUGGUCUGAGAGGACGACCAGCCACACUGGGACUGAGACACGGCCCAGACUCCUACGGGAGGCAGCAGUGGGGAAUUUUGGACAAUGGGGGCAACCCUGAUCCAGCCAUGCCGCGUGCGGGAAGAAGGCCUUCGGGUUGUAAACCGCUUUUGUUCGGGAAGAAAUCCUCUGGGCUAAUACCCCGGGGGGAUGACGGUACCGGAAGAAUAAGCACCGGCUAACUACGUG
rnacentral:rRNA from 1 species